ACACAAUUACCUACAUGUAACAUCACACAUUUCUCUGCAAUUCCUCCAUAUGCAUAAGGAACUCAUGCACUGUAGCUUUAGUUUGAUGUAUUAAGAAAACUUACUUGAAGAAUUAAGCUGUCUCCAUUUCAUCGCUAUUAGGAGGGCUGAUCAUAGGUUCUGUUAUCUCAUAUGUUUCUACAAUUUCCUAGUUAGAAAGGACAGAAAAGUAUGUAAGUUACAGGGCUGAACUAUUUAAAUACAAAUGCACUAACCACCAGGGCUAAAUGAAGUUUCCUCAUACUAAAGCACUACUUUGAAUGUCUGUUCUGUACAUUCUGAGGAGAAAGCUUUAACUGCAAAGAAACUUGAUCAAAAAUAGAGAACAAUGAGGAAAAUGUUCUUCCCCCCAGGAGCAAAUAUCAUAUAUAAGGGGAAAUAAUUGAUUACACAGUCCUCACGAAGUAGUAAAAGCAAGUCAUUAAAGUCAAAAGCACUUAAACUGACAGGGCUUCAAGGGUUAAAGAUGAAAUUGCCAUCCCACUUCCCCAUUUUCUUCCGGUUAAAAGCAUUCAUCAGAUGUGUGGUUGUUCUCAAAUCCAUGAAAUUAAAUGCAGUAAUAUAUGAAACAAUAAUAGUAAUUUGUGAACAUUCAUCCUCAUCUGUGUACAUAACACAGCUCUCAGAUGUAUUCUUAAGCUUCAGGGGAAAUAAAUGAAUCGAAGUUAUCAAGUAUUAUACCCUCCAUUCUUCAUGGCUCAGGGAAAUGACAACUUGGUUCCGUGCUCGAGCACUGUGGUCAUCAUUUCUUUCUUCAACGUUCUGUACAGGCUCUAUUACUGGCAAUUUAUCAUCAUCCAGCUUUAAUCUUGCUAAACCAUCCCUUAGUAUGAAGGACACAUGGAAGAUGUUUUCCACAGUGCGCGCAAAGGAGUUUGGAUCAACCACAAGAUCAAAGAAGAAAAUAGGAGUACAAGGAUCAUUUCUAAAAUGAGUCUGUAACAAUCCCAAGAUCCUCUCCACUUCUUUUGCUGUAGCUUCUUGAUGAGACUCCUCCAUUUUUUUUAGCUGAGCAGGCAUUGCCC
rnacentral:lncRNA from 1 species